CUUGGUCCAAAUCCAAACUCCUAAUCCGAUCCCUAAUCCCUCAGUGACUCAGUCCAUCUCUCGACCAUUCCCUCAGUCUCUCUCUCUCUCUCAAACUCGAGCCUCAGUUCGAAGAAUCAAAUCCCUCGACCCAUUCGAUUUCAUUUCACAUCAAAGCGAUUCGAUUCACAUCAGUCGAUCAAUUGUUGCAGUACUGCUGGUGUUCCAAUCUCGAGUUGUCAACAAUUCAAGAAAUCUUACAAUCAAGGCUUAGAAGUCAGCACUGGAGCAACGUAGGAGCACUGCAGUUGGUCGGUUUGGACCAAUAGAAAAUGCUUUUAAUCAAGGAAUAGAGUCAUCAUUGACCAGUCUCAGCUCUACACAAGCUGAUGCAUAGCAGGCAGCAGCCAACAUCGUGAGCUUUCUUGUUCAACAAAGUCUGAGUCUUUGAGUGAGGCAGGGAGCACAACAAGCAAAUAUGAAGUGACGAUGAGAUGAAAUUUGAGUCUUUGAAUACUUUGUUUUAAACUAUUGUCCGCUUUGUUAUUGUAUGAUUUAUUCAUUUGUGUGAACUGUAAAUGAUGAUAUGAGGUGAUGAUGAGAUGAACUGUAAGUGAUGAUAUGAAUUAUGAAGUGAUGAACUGAUGAGUGAUGAACUGAUGAGUGUAAGUGAUGAACUAAAGUAGAUGUGAGAGAAUGAGAGACUGAGAGUUAUAAGUUUUUUGAUUGA